UUUGUGAAAUUUGUUCUGCUUGAUGGUAUAAUCAAGAUGAAUUGUUGGCUUUUCUUAUCACCCACCCUCAGGAUCCCCAUUAUCUCUUAUACCUAUUCGUGUGUGUGUACACACUCAUGCAUCACAGGCACAUGUGCAUGUGGAUAAUGGGAUACAACACCUUGAUAUGUUAAUGGUAACCCAAAGUUAAAAAGUGCAGAAAGCAAAGAACUUAUUGCUGUUGAUCAUACUGUCAAUGAUAUCAACAUCUGUCUUUAUGCAUUCACAAAUCAGAUCUGUCUUAUCCUUAUUGUCACAUAAGCUAAGGAUUUCACCAGGGUGAUAUUGAUUACACACUUUGCCAAUGUCAUAAAAUGCUAUCAUGAACUAAUGCAUCAAUGAAGCUACUAACUAGUGGAUUUCCAGGAGUUGCACUGGCAUGUGUAUUAAGAAAAAGGGUUGCUUAAAUUUAGGACUUCACUUGCAAAUCUCCAGUGCAUACUGCUUAUAUCAUGGGUUUUAAUUUAAGAAGCAA